GGGUGCGUAGGCGGAAUUGUAAGUCAGUGGUGAAAGCCUGCAGCUUAACUGCAGAAUUGCCAUUGAUACUGCAAAUCUUGAGUAAAUUUGAAGUGGCUGGAAUAAGUAGUGUAGCGGUGAAAUGCAUAGAUAUUACUUAGAACACCAAUUGCGAAGGCAGGUCACUAAGAUUUAACUGACGCUGAUGGACGAAAGCGUGGGUAGCGAACAG
rnacentral:rRNA from 1 species